rnacentral:rRNA from 1 species
GACGAACGCUGGCGGCGUGCCUAAUACAUGCAAGUCGAGCGGACCCUUCGGGGUUAGCGGCGGACGGGUGAGUAACACGUGGGUAAUCUGCCCAACUGACUGGAAUAACGCCUGGAAACGGGUGCUAAUGCCGGAUAGGGCAACUGGUAGGCAUCUACCGGUUGGGAAAGGUGCAACUGCACCGCAGAUGGAGGAGCCCGCGGCGCAUUAGCUAGUUGGUGGGGUAACGGACCUACCAAGGCGACGAUGCGUAGCCGACCUGAGAGGGUGGACGGCCACACUGGGACUGAGACACGGCCCAGACUCCUACGGGAGGCAGCAGUAGGGAAUCUUCCGCAAUGGGCGCAAGCCUGACGGAGCAACGCCGCGUGAGCGAAGAAGGCCUUCGGGUUGUAAAGCUCAGUCACUCGGGAAGAGUGGACAGGGGAGUGGAAAGCCCCUGUCGAGACGGUACCGAGAGAGGAAGCCCCGGCUAACUACGUG